UUACGACCAUAUUCCGUCGAAAAGACCGCUUCCCGAAUGAUCACCGAAGCUAAGCAACGUCGAGCCUGGUCAGUACCUAGAUAAGUGGUCGCUUGAGAAAACCACGUGCUG